rnacentral:rRNA from 1 species
AACGAACGCUGGCGGCACGCCUAACACAUGCAAGUCGGACGAGAUCUUCGGAUCUAGUGGCGGACGGGUUAGUAACGCGUGGGAACAUACCCUUCUCUAAGGAAUAGCCACUGGAAACGGUGAGUAAUACCUUAUACGCCCUUCGGGGGAAAGAUUUAUCGGUGAAGGAUUGGCCCGCGUUAGAUUAGAUAGUUGGUGGGGUAAUGGCCUACCAAGUCUACGAUCUAUAGCUGGUUUGAGAGGAUGAUCAGCAACACUGGGACUGAGACACGGCCCAG